rnacentral:rRNA from 1 species
UACGAAGGGGGCUAGCGUUGUUCGGAAUUACUGGGCGUAAAGCGCACGUAGGCGGGUUUGUAAGUAGGGGGUGAAAUCCCAGAGCUCAACUCUGGAACUGCCUUCUAAACUGCAAGCCUGGAGGUCAGGAGAGGCGAGUGGAAUACCGAGUGUAGAGGUGAAAUUCGUAGAUAUUCGGUGGAACACCAGUGGCGAAGGCGACUCGCUGGACUGAUACUGACGCUGAGGUGCGAAAGCGUGGGGAGCAAACAGG